AUGGAACAUGUCGUUCAAGAAGCCAAAGUUGCUUGCUCCAAUGACAAGUAUGGAUGUGCGGAGAAGGUCACCUACUACAAGAAAGAAGAACACAAGAAGGCAUGCCCGUAUGUCCCAUGCUUCUGCCCACAGUCUGGUUGUGGCUUCGCUGGGUCAACAAAGGUGCUCCUGGACCAUUUCACUACCCAACACAAGUGUCCGUCAACAACUCUCCCAGACUCCGGCACGGUGUAUCUUCGCCUACAACCAGGCUUACAUGUUCUGCGAUGCACCGGCUACUUUUUCUUGCUCAGCAUGGCAUCAGAGCCUUUUGGACAUGCCAUUUCAGUCCUCUGCGUCCAACCAAUAGUUAUGGAACCCAAGUUCAAAUGUAAUAUGGAAUACGACUGCUUAACCACCGGCUCUUGUGAAAGUACAAAUUGCCUCAUAAGAAGCUCUUCACUCUCUGAUGGACUACCCGCAGUGUAUGACUUAAUAAUUCCCAAGGGAAAGAUUUCUGAUGAUGGAAACGGUAUCAUGCUCAGAGCCACCAUUCUCAGCAGAUCAUGUCUUCAAGGGAAGGGCCUGACUGCUGAUCUUCAAGGAAUGCCUUAUACUAAAAAUGCUAUUGCUGCUGCUGUUGCCCCCGCUACUGCUGCGUCUGUUGCCCCCGCUACUGCUGCUGCUGCUGCCACCGCUCCUGCUGCUUCUGUUGCCCCAGCUACUGCUGCCCCUGUUGCCCCUGCUAAUGCUGCUCCUGCUGCUGAUACGUCUCGACGAGAAGGAGAAAGAGGACGAGGAAGAAGAGGAGGCAGAGGAGGAAGAGGAGGAGCAGUAGGACGAGGACAAGGGCCAUGGCGAGGACGGGGACGAGGAUGA
rnacentral:rRNA from 1 species